UACGGAGGGUGCGAGCGUUAUCCGGAUUCACUGGGUUUAAAGGGUGCGUAGGUGGGAAUGUAAGUCAGUGGUGAAAUCUCCGUGCUUAACACGGAAACUGCCAUUGAUACUAUGUUUCUUGAAUUUCUGGAGGUUAGCGGAAUAUGUCAUGUAGCGGUGAAAUGCUUAGAUAUGACAUAGAACACCGAUUGCGAAGGCAGCUAACUACAGGGAUAUUGACACUGAGGCACGAAAGCGUGGGAUCAACAGG
rnacentral:rRNA from 1 species